AACGUAGGAGGCAAGCGUUAUCCGAAUUUACUGGGCGUAAAGCGCGUGCAGGCGGUUCGGUAAGUUGGAUGUGAAAGCUCCUGGCUCAACUGGGAGAGGUCGUUCAAUACUGCCGAACUCGAGGAUGGUAGAGGGAGGUGGAAUUCCCGGUGUAGUGGUGAAAUGCGUAGAUAUCGGGAGGAACACCAGUGGCGAAGGCGGCCUCCUGGGCCAUUCCUGACGCUCAGACGCGAAAGCUAGGGGAG
rnacentral:rRNA from 1 species